GUUUGUAUAGUUUAAAAAAAAACAAUACAUUUUCAUUGUAUAAAUGAAACCUUUGUUUCUAUAAAUA
rnacentral:tRNA from 1 species